GUCUUGUGCUCUCUGAGUGUUUCCUCAUGCUUAAGUUUGAUAUUCUAAAAGACUGAGAACUCUGAUGAGCUUUAUUCUGCCAUGCUUGGAUUGGAUAUUUUGCUACCAUUAGUUUCUAAAUUUUUUUUCUUGUAGAAUGGUCAUCUGAAGAUUUUCUACCAAAGGGUCUAACCUGACUAUUGGCGGAGAAAGAGAAGAUCUAUUAUUUAUAUGUCAACCAUCAUUUAAAUGUUUUAUUUUCAGUAAGUCCUUUCUGGCUUCAUUGUUCAUAAUACAAGGAACCUCUGCUUGAAUCUCUCCAAAGAGAAGGGGAAGAGGAUGUUUGGCAGGGGAAGGGAAAGUUCUCUGAGCAGGAUAAAAUCUGCUUUAAUAAUUUAUUCUCACUGGAUGUGGUGUACACCUGUAAACCCAGCACUCGGCUGAGGCAGGAGGAUUGCUGAGAGUUCAAGCCUAGCCUGAACCACACUCCGAGACCUUAUCUAAAGCACAAAAACAAAUUCUAUUCUCUUUACCAACAACUGAUUCAAGAAUCAGGGGACCCAAUUUAGGACUUCACACAAAGACAAACUAGUUGAAGACUCUAGGAAAGGGCUUCCCAAAAAGGCUAUGGGGUUGAGGCCAGGACUGCCCUGGAGCUUCAAGCAGAAAGGCUUAACUACAGAAAAGGAGACAGCCCCGCUGGCAGCAAGGUUCAGCUCAACGUUCAGCCCAAUACUGAUGAUGUAGAGUUUGGAGACCAAAACUAGAAAGGUAACUGGACUAUGAAGACAGCCACUAGUUUGGCCUUGGCCCCUCAAGGUCAACAAAGAUGAAGGACACAAAGGAACCUUUCCUACAGGAUCCUACAUCUUUGAUUCAAAGCUAUAUGGCUACCAAGAUGACAAUGCCUGGCACCUAUCAAGGGCCUUCUUCAGCUGGAAGUAGCCAGAAUGGACUUUGCCCUUUGCCCCCUCACACAGUUAGGGGUACUUCUUCAGAGGGGGGAAUAUUGCAGAAAGGUAAGGUAAUUAGAUAUGUUGUGUGCAGUUAGACCAGCCCUCCAGGAGCCAACACAGCAAGGAGCCAACAUGGAGGACAAUCAAGACACAUUCACUGAAGGCCAGAAUUGUAAAAAAGAGAGAAACCACACACCCUUGUGCUUCCCCUGGGGAUAAAUAGCAGUGAUUGAUAUUCUAAAAAGGUAUCAAUCACUUGGGUGGGGGGUCAAGGUCUUAACCCAGCCUCUCCAGGAAAUAUACCUGACCUACCCUUACUGAAAAUCCUUGUAUGCUUGCUACGUGACU
rnacentral:lncRNA from 1 species